CCGGCACUGCCUCCCGAUCCUAUCUACAGCUGCAGCGCGCCGCCGGAGAUCUCCCCUCCCGUGGAUGGCGGCGCAGUCUACGGCGCUCAAGCGAGGGCAGGGACACAGGCAACGCGAAGGCAAUGGGGGGACGUAGGAGCUCGAGGGGCACAGCAAUGGACGCGGCGGGGCGGAUCCGGCGAGGAGGAGGCCGGAGUCGAGGCGGGCCACGCCAUGGGAGGAGGCCGGAGCUCGAGGGGCACGGUAAUGGGUGCGGCGGGGCGGAUCCGGCGAGGAGAGACCGGAGUGGAGGUGGGGGCACGCCAUGGGAGGCUAGCAAAGCUUCGGGCAGCACCAUCCAUAGUGGUUGCUACCUGUGGGAGAAGAGGAGGGAGAUUUUGAGAAAGAGAGAGAGACAGGAGUAAAGAGAGAGGGAAGGGAGAGGAAGGAGAGAUGGCCGGAGGCGUGGUCAAUGGUGAAGGUCCGGCGGCGCGCGGAGCGCGCUGCCCGCCGGUGGACACCCAAUUGUGCGUGAACCCGCCGAGGACUGACCUCGCCACCUCCGUGCCUCCCCCAGGAUCUCCGUCACUGCCUCAUGCUGCUGUGCACAAAGAUACUGCUGCCUCUCCCUGAUUCAAGGAUGACAGCGCCCAAACCUUUCCCUGAUGUUUGGGCAAAGGCGUGUAUGUCUGAUGUGCAGCAAAGCGACGAAACAAUGGUCGAUGGUUAUGUAUCUCGCGGGACUCGACGGUUACAGUUUCGGGAGCAGCACUGUUGCUUGCUAGCAUAUUUUUUUUCUUACAUAUAUGAACUGAUGAUGCUUUAUUUGGUGUUGUUUCCCAUGGCAGUACAUUUUGGCUUUGUUGACGAUGAUUUCUGCUAAUGUGCACACAGCUGAGGAAUAGACCCGGCAAGGAAGAGAGCUACACCAAUGUAGUCGGUGGAAUUAACAAGCAAAGUAAAUCCUGAAGCUCAUGGUUGUAACAAGAGGAAGUCGAUUUGUCAGUGGAAACAUAGCUGCAAGGAAGCGAUAUCUCAACUUUGACGUUACUUAAGCUUUUGGAUUUCAGAUUUAGUUGCCAUCACCAAACUGGUAUGCAAUUGAGUUGCACUUGAGCGCACAAGCUGAUUUCUAAAUAUCGCACAGUACUAUAGUUGUGCUCCACUAAAUAGCUUAUAUUUGAGCAGUCUUGCGGAAUAGUUACAGUGAAGAAAAAGCUUGCAAGAUUGAUUUGAUUUGCUGGUUUUUUGAGUGGCGCUACCCCUAUUAGGCUAAGUAGAAGCACUAUACGACGACUAAAGUACACCAGAUUACCUUCUCUGGUUUUGUAAUUUGUUGUUUGUUAUUUUUGGAAUUAUUUUGGGUACAAGGAAAGAAGUGCCAGAGAACUGCCAUUGUUUCGUGGUAAAAUUUACUAAUGUUGGUAUUUCUUUUCAAGAUUAUAUUAUUGUUUGCCCAUUUGGUCCUUGGAUGUUCUACUGAUUUUUUUUCUAUUCCUUGUGGAUAAUUUGCUUCGGAUCAUCAGACUACCUAGGGAAAUAUGCACAUUCUUUAUCUCACCCCCCCUCUUUAUCUAAAGAUAUAUUGGGCAUCAGUCCACCUGUCAUGAGAUCUCUGAAUUUUGGAGGCAUGUUGUAUUUUCUGAAUUUCUUGCAGAUAUUAUGCUUGGACUCACAAAUGCAUGUAAUGCUUCCACUAGAGGUUUGUUCUUCGUUUCUUCUAUGUUAUUCCUCUUUCAAGUUUUUGGUCCUUGAAAAGUAAUAGUACUUGCUAGGUUUUCUAGGUUCAUUUUUUGUGUGGUAGAAGCUGAAUGUAUAUGGCCUGAAUUUACAUAUCAGAGUGUAUGAGUUGAUUAAGGGUAUGGGAGAGAACAAUUGUCAUCCUCAAAUAACACGCGUCGUCACUAAGUUUCUUAUAUUUACCAAUUGAAACAUGUCACUAAGUUGCUACUGAUGUCACGGUGUCCAUAAUGCAGAACACAUAAUAAGUUAAAUCAAGCCAAUGAUUUUGUUCUUUUAGCCAAAGUCAGGUUCAGAGUUGUUCACACUGAAUUUUCUGGGCACAUCCAUAAGCAAGCUAGCACGUAUUAUUUAACUGAAGCAGAGGGCGGCUAAGCUAUGAAUGCUUCAUUCUUUGUUCUGAACAAAUGCAGCUACAACUUUAUAUUUUGAAGAACCGGCACCUGAGUGUGUUCUGUUUUUAUAGCCUGCAGAGUCUGGAGAGUAAAGCUUGUACAUUUUGUAAACCAUUUUGUUCCAGUUUCCCUUGGUAUACAAGUCUAUACUGUAUCGGGUUUUGCCAUUGCCGAUCAUGUACUUCUUUCUGUGCUAGACCGGUAUAAGUAUAUUUAGCUCAUGUACACAUGGCAUUUGGAUUGAACCAAAGAAUUUCAUGUUGAUGACUACAUAUAUACCUGAACAUGGUGGCUUGAACUUGGUUAUUAUUCUUGGACAUGAUGCUGGAAUAAUUCUUGAAGUUUCAUA